AGAGAGGAAAGAAGAGAGAGCCCAGUUGAAACUGUACGAGAAAUCUUCACCUCAGAGACAGAGAUCGAUUAGCUUAACAAAGUUCUGGUUUCGAAUAGUUUGGAACUCGCACAGAGAGAGGAGAGAAGAAGAAACAGGAGCUCGCCCCCUUGUGAAAUCUCCUCUGCAGAGCAGGUAUUGGGACAAAUUUUAGGGUUUUUCUAGACCCCCUAUACAGAGAGGUAACGUCUUCUUCUUCUCUUCUAUUUCGUCUUCUUCUCUUCUAUUUCUUCUUCUUCUCCUUUGCUUCCUGAA